rnacentral:rRNA from 1 species
UACGAAGGGGGCUAGCGUUGUUCGGAAUCACUGGGCGUAAAGCGCACGCAGGCGGAUUGAUAAGUCAGGGGUGAAAUCCCGGAGCUCAACUUCGGAAUUGCCUUUGAUACUGUCUGUCUUGAGUCCGGGAGAGGUGAGUGGAAUUCCUAGUGUAGAGGUGAAAUGCGCAGAGAUCGGGAGGAACACCCGUAGCGAAGGCGGCACUCUGGGCCGGUACUGACGCUGAGGAGCGAAAGCGUGGGGAGCAAACAGG